CGAGUUCCCGUGCGAUCACCGAAGUUAAGCAACGUCAAGCCUGGUCAAUACCUUGGUGGGUGACUGCUUGGGAAUACCAGGUGCUGUAAG